CCGCAGCCCGGCCGGGUCGGGGAGCGCCGCGGCUCGGGGCCCCGCGGGACCGUCAGUCUCCCGCCCAGGCUCAGCCCAGGCGGCGUGGACCAGUUAUUGCCACCGAGUCUGCGGACCCGCCCAGCCUGGAGGGCGCUGCGCGCGGCUCCGCGCGUGUGUGGCGCCGUCUCGCCUCCCAGCUCUGUCAGGCUCUUGCAUCCCGGUCGUCCUAGUGUCGCAUCCGGGCUGCGGGCGGAGCCUGGUAACCGGGACCUCGGCCUUGAGAGUCGCCAUCCCCUUCUUUGCGCAGGGCCCUGUCCUUUCUGGGGCUCAACCGGCCGUGCCGGAGCGGUAGACCCGGCGCUCGUCGCAGCCUCCUGGAUUAAGAGGCCGUUUUGUCCGGGCCAGCAUCGACGGCCCCUGAGGCAUGCUUCCUAGAAGAUGGGAUCUUUCUUUUCAUCCUGUUCCUGCAACGUCUGGCAGAGUCGCCUGGCACCUGGAAUGGAUAAAAGUGGCAGUUUUGUUACUUCCCAUGAGGGUGUGUAUCUGGAGUGAGAACCAUGAAAUUCAUCUAGAGUAGAACAUUUUUAAAGACACGGAAUGGCACCGGGCAGCACCAGGAGGUCUACGAGAAGCAUCUGAAGGUGCAGAGCUACAGAAGAGUGUGCGAACAGAAGGGUUUCUGGGAAACACACGAUCGGAAACACCAGCAGAGAAACCCCUUCAGCUUCUUCAAGCAGUGGGAAAAUUGUCUUCAUCAAAUUAAGUACAAUCUAUACUGAAGAGAAAUCAUAUAAAGUCUCGAAUAUAAAAAGUACGUUACUGGAGUUCCAGUUGUGGCUCAGCGGCUUAGGAACCCGACCUAGUGUCUGUGAGGAUGCAGGUUCCAUCCCUGG